rnacentral:lncRNA from 1 species
GCCAAGGUAAGGGUGAGAUAAAUCCUAAGGGGUACUAGGCUAAAAUUCAAAGAGAUAAAAGAGACUUGAAAGAAACUGCGGGAGUUGACCUAAGGGGUACUAGGCUAAAAUUCAAAGAGAUAAAAGAGACUUGAAAGAAACUGCGGGAGUUGAAUUUACAAAAUAUUUCAUUCACUUGAACAACUCUAUAGCAAUUGUUUUCUCUUCUCCUUCCUUUUUUUUUUUGAAGGAGUAUGUAUUGACAUGUAUUGAAAUAUUACAAACAUAAUUCUUUUUUUUUCUUCCUCUUAUCCUUCUAUUUUUUUCUUCCUCUUAUCCUUCUAUUUUUUCAAUCCUUUUUUUUUCUUUUCUAUUUUCUUUUUCUGCCAACUUCUGAAACAUUACAAACAUAGUUAUUCAACCCCACACAACUCCAAAUAAGACUCUUUCAACCCUUUGAAUAGGGUGAUAAUAUUGUUUUU